UCGGUUGGUUGUAAAACAUUUGCUCCAGUCAUCUCUCUGGAAAACAGACUUUGUCUACCAGGGAGCCGCCUAGGUGAGGGUGCUCACGAUGUUUAAAAACAAAACCAUGCGUCUACAAGGUAGCUGCACCGCAGGAGUUAAGAUUGGGAGAUCCUGCUUGCUUUUAUGUUGGUGUAAUCUUUAUUUUAAAUGGACUAAUGAUGGGAUUGUUCUUCACGUAUGGAGCAUACCUGAGGAUGUCAUGCCCAGAGCUGCAGCAGUCGUCUUGUGACCAUAAGGGAAAGGCCGUAAACGUAGGAGAUGUAUCUGGCCUACCAUCCUUCUGCUGCUGAACCAAUGCCAACAGAUACU